rnacentral:misc_RNA from 2 species
GCAUGUGAGCGGUGAUAGAUUUGUAUGCCGCGGUGGGCUCCCUGCUAUUGUGCAGUUGACCACCGACGUUGCAAGUCUCUUCAAUGACACUCUGUUUGAACGGAGAUGCGUGUGUUGCCUGUACAAUCUAUCUAGUUCCUUUGGAAAUAGACAUUGUUUACCUCGCUUAUCCACUUCUCAUGUCCUAUAUGAAUGAGAAGUGUCGAUGUCCGUGCACCUUGUGUGUCCUCGAACGAUGGCAUAUCUCAGACCUCUCGUCUCGAGUGGCUCCAGUGUUCACGUGAGUGCUCUUGGAUGCAGUGGAUAAGAAUGUACCAUGGGUCUUUGGACUCUUGGCACAUGAUUGGUUGGCUUUCUUAGUCGCCCUUCGACGGAUGACGGCCUUCCCAUCGUUGCCCCCCUUUCCCUUGUGGUAAUGGGUCGGCAUGUUGGGCUUGGCGUCGUAGAGGACGUGCUACC